rnacentral:rRNA from 1 species
GAGUAACACGUAUCCAACCUACCUCAUACUCGGGGAUAGCCUUUCGAAAGAAGGAUUAAUAUCCGAUAGCAUAUAUUUCCCGCAUGGGUUUUAUAUUAAAGAAAUUCGGUAUGAGAUGGGGAUGCGUUCCAUUAGUUUGUUGGGGGGGUAACGGCCCACCAAGACUACGAUGGAUAGGGGUUCUGAGAGGAAGGUCCCCCACAUUGGAACUGAGACACGGUCCAAACUCCUACGGGAGGCAGCAGUGAGGAAUAUUGGUCAAUGGACGCGAGUCUGAACCAGCCAAGUAGCGUGAAGGAUGACUGCCCUAUGGGUUGUAAACUUCUUUUAUAUGGGAAUACAGUGGUCCACGUGUGGACUUUUGUAUGUACCAUAUGAAUAAGGAUCGGCUAACUCCGUGCCAGCAGCCGCGGUAAUACGGAGGAUCCGAGCGUUAUCCGGAUUUAUUGGGUUUAAAGGGAGCGUAGGCGGAUUGUUAAGUCAGUUGUGAAAGUUUGCGGCUCAACCGUAAAAUUGCAGUUGAUACUGGCAGUCUUGAGUGCAGUAGAGGUGGGCGGAAUUCGUGGUGUAGCGGUGAAAUGCUUAGAUAUCACGAAGAACUCCGAUUGCGAAGGGCAGCUCACUGGAGUGUAA